UGUAUUUUUUCCCUUAACACAUUUUUUUAAAAUGCUAAAAUUAUGAGAUUAAAUUACACAAAAAUGUAAGUUUUAUCCAUCACUACAAUUAAUCUUUUUGUAAGCAAAUAAAGAGUUUUUGAAUAAAGCGAUGGGUUGCAAUUAUUCCGGGGUCGUCCCGAUCCCUGAUGCGGCAGGUAGAGAAUUAAACCGAAGUUUAUCCUGUACUACUGGAAUAAAGCAGAUUUUGCGCAAGCAAUCAAAAAAUAAACUUCCCUUUUCUUAACUUUUUAAUUUUAUUUUAUGAUUAUUUUGCUGUUUUUUUAAACCAUCUGCUCACUUUUCAUUUUCAUCCAUUCUGUCCAGAUUUGUAAAACUUGUUCCGAGAUAUCAAAAGACAACAAAACUUAUCCGCGUACUCUUUCAAGGUUGUCUAAUUGGCAAGAUUCUUUUAUUUCCAGUCUUUUUAUUUUUUCAAGAGACAAUGAUUAGAAUGGGGAGCUCUCAUAGUAAUCAAACAAAAUGCAAUGAUAAAUAGGAAUUGCAGCAUUUGAUCUUACGCUGUGAUUCAAAUCAGAUGUUUCUCUAAAAGGGAAGUGAGAAACUUCCCAGAGUUUGUGAAAUGAAAGGCCACCAUCUGUUUUUGAAUGUUUGUCUGUUCUGAGGACAUUGAACUGUCAGCAGUGUCCCUCCUACUAAUCAGGACUUCUAGAUGUCUACACAACACAAACCAUGAGUUCUUUACCCAUCUUUUGUAUUGUAUUUACUUUAGUAGGUCAACUACUGUCAAAGUACGAACAAUAAAUAUUUUCUUUUUGAUUGAAACUGAGAUGGUGUCAGUUGUUUUAUUUAAGCUCCUGGCUGUAAUCUUUCUUAAGAAAAGGAAUAAAGAAAAUUUGAUCAUAGCAUUGAUGCAAAAUAUUGAUUUUAAUAAAUAAAAUUAUAUUUCAAUUUCUAAUAGGUUUUAAGGCGUUUCUGUCUUUCUUGUUUUUUCUCAAUUUAAAAUCCUUUUAUUUUGAAACACUCAAAAUCGACUGAACUCUAAAUUCCAGUAAAAAAAAAAAAAAAAAAAGAAAAACAAGCUGUGAUCAGUGAGAAACUUUAGUGGGGCAAAAGAAAAAAAAAUCUAUAAUUCUCAAAGAAAAUCUUUCAGGACUCCCUAAAGUUUAAAAAAAAUCUACAAAAUUUGUGUCACGCUAUUAAGACUUUCCACUGAAAAGGCUCAAACAGACUUACAUAUGAAGCUGUCACAUUUCACUCAUCUCAAAACUCACAAUCCUCGCUGGAUAAUAUUUAUGUAGUCACUUUUUUAAAACUAAAAUCAUCUCAACUGUGUGCCACUUUUUUUUUCUUUUCACCUACAUUGUGCAAAUCGAGAACGAAACUAAAACACGUGAGCACUAAGACGAGGACUUUAAAUGUUCGUCCGCACGUAAAAGCAGCGCAAAAAUGAACAUUUCAAUACAAAUUAGUUAGAAUUAACCAAAAAAGCAAAAAACGAAACAAUUUGAUACGAUGUACCUUCAUUUCACAAAAAAUCAUGUUAUCCAGUCGCUACUGCAGCUUCUUCCUCCUCUGCUAGCUUAGCAACAGCAGCCAUUUUGUCUGCAUAUACAUUGGCUGAGACGUCUUUUUUAGGUCAUGCAACAUUUCUUUGAGAUUUUCCCUAGAAAAAGGUGCCACCGGUUUCAUUUGAAUCCACUUUAGCAACAAUGAGAGCUCUUAAUUUGAGCCUUUAACUAAGAUAUCAAGUGGGAGAUGUGGAUUAUAUCAGGCACGCGUCGAGCAUGUCCUGAGAGGUGAUGCUUUCAUUUUCUGCUCACAAGGUGCCAAAUGGUGUUUGGAGUUAACCGCAUGACUGUCACACAAAGGCACAUACAUACUGCACAUUAGUUCACAUUCACAUCAAGCAUGAUGGACACACACGUGCGCAGAGAUAUAUAGAAAUCAGAUGAGUUGAUCCCUUUCUUAGAGCAUGCGUCAGCCACCCGCUGAUCCCAGCGACACGUUACGUAGACGACCAGCAGCAGGAUGCAUGAGCCCAGCUGUCCAGAGGUCACCUUGGCUUGUUUACUUCUCUAGAAUGAAUUCAGAGGGGCAGGGUGGACCACUGCCACCCACAACAGCUACCUCAACUUGAACUUCAGUCGAGCUUGAGGGAAUCUGCGUUCUUUCCGGUGAGGGUGGGGUGUGCCAAAAUCCCCUUUUGCCUAGGGUGCCAUGCAGCCCAGAACCGGGCCUGACUCAGAGACAGGUUGGGACCCUGGAGGUGUGGAAUGGCAUGCAGGGAGUCAGGAUGCGGUGCUGGAAAGCGGAUCGAUCCCUCAGCUGCAGGUGGCCGAGCUGAAGAAGCAUCUGAAACUCGUUCUGGCUACCAAACAAACUUCCUUGUUCUUAAACAAAGCAGUUUAUCUGCAUACUCCACCGUGGUUUAAAGUUUGAUGUUUACACAAAUAACUGUAGCAAACAGGAAAGACAUGAAGAUGUUUUAAAAAUGGAAUAAUCUUUGCCCAAGUCAUUUCAGCAAGCACUUUGCAUUUCUUUAUAAUUUGGGUAAAUGAUGCUCUUUACUUAGCAUGUGAUUCAUAGAGAAUAGCAACGCUCUGUUCUCUGUGCAUAAUUAAAAACUUGGAAAAUGCCCCCUUUUCAUGUAAAAAAAUGCAAUGACAUUGUCUUUAGAGAUUUUGCUUCUCGUUUUACAGGCCAAAGUACAACACCGGCAUAAAAACCAAACACUGAGGUUGAUCAUACCCAUUCAAGUAACAAAGCAUUUAAAGCGAUUUCUUUCCAUGUAUCCACAAAUGAGUGAAUCAUCAAGUCAUCCAGUGAGAGCUCCAACUCCCCUGCAACUGCUUAUUCAUAAAGAAAUAGGUUAAGCCUUGAUGUUUAAAUCGCAAGCAGAGUGUAAAUCUCAUAAAAUCCUUUCAUGCCUUUUAAGACAAAAGAGGCUUGUUUGGGAACAUGUAUUUGAGAUCAUAGAGAUCAUAGUUUGGAAUAGCAGAUGAUACAUUUGAAUCCCUGUAAGACACAAUGGUUAGAUGGGUGCUGAGCCGAGAGCUGAGAGCGCAGGAGAAAGGAGGAGCUAGACGGGAAGAGUGAGUAUUUUACUUCAAAGUUUGUCUACCCUGAGAGACCUGGCAGCUCUGCAGACGUACAUGUUAGCUCAAAAUGAAAGAGUGAUUUGGUGCCUGAGUCCCUGGGGAGGGAAACUGUCUGGACACCGUGCAAACUCGAUAGCGGAUCAAUUUCACUGCAGUUUCAGUCCAAACCGACGGGGCUCCCUCCUCUUGUUAUCCAAAGAACAAACAACAUGAAAUAAAAUUUCAUUUGAUGUUUCUCUGCAGGCAAAGGAUAGAAGGUAGCCUUAGGCGGAAGAGGAUUCGUAAGAGAAGAGAACUAAAGUGCAUCACUUGUGCCUAAUGGCUGACUGUGUUUACAGGUGCUAAAAGACACAAAUGGGUUUGUCGUAUUGUCAUUUCCGAGUAUGUUUCUGCAGUUUUGGCUGCAGCUCCUUAUUAUUGUUGGAAGACCGUGAGGUCAAGACCUCAAACGUGCUCUUUUUUUUGCCCCAUCAAACUGUCACAUGAGAAAAUGAUCAUACGUGCUGCAGUAAAGAACUGAUACAUAAGCAGAGAUGAAUCCAGCGUGUUACAGCUGAGGCUGGCAAUCUAGUGCACAACUGUUUAUAGGAAAAGGAGGAAGAGAAAAUUGGAUCCUGCUUGAAACUCGGGCUGCUCACUACAUACUUGAUGAAAGCUAUUUCCUCAGAAAUUUAUAUUAAUGCCCCAAAAGAUUUUUUUGAAGAUGAGGAGAAGAUAUGUUGCAGUGGCUUGAAAUUAUUCCCAGACUGCAACUGCCUCCUGCAAGAUAAGAGUUCUUUUCAUUUUUACUCCUUCUUAGGAUGGAUUUUUGUAACAUAUGAAGGCAUUAAAAAAAGGAAAUGGUGUCUUUGAUUACAUAAAAUCAGUGAAAUGUCAAGGACUUGUCUUCAUCUCUAGAAAGGCCUUUCUAAAAACUCUUCCUGCUGAAUAAGCUCCCAUGAAUAGGCCAUAGCAUUCACCCACUAUCCAAACAAGGUGUACAAGUACCGCAUUGUCUCAAAAGACCCUUUGACAUGCAUACACACAAAAAAAAACAACAAAAAAAAAAAAA